UACGGAGGGUGCAAGCGUUGUCCGGAUUUAUUGGGUUUAAAGGGUGCGUAGGCGGUCAUUUAAGUCAGUGGUGAAAUCCUCCAGCUUAACUGGAGAACUGCCAUUGAUACUGGGAGACUUGAGUACAGACGAGGUAGGCGGAAUUGACAGUGUAGCGGUGAAAUGCAUAGAUAUUGUCAAGAACACCGAUUGCGAAGGCAGCUUACUAGACUGUAACUGACGCUGAGGCACGAAAGUGUGGGGAUCAAACAGG
rnacentral:rRNA from 1 species